CCUACGGGUGGCUGCAGUGAGGAAUAUUGGUCAAUGGGCGUAAGCCUGAACCAGCCAAGUCGCGUGAGGGAUGAAGGUUCUAUGGAUCGUAAACCUCUUUUAUCAGGGAAUAAAGUGUGGCACGUGUGCUUUUUUGUGUGUACCUUAUGAAUAAGGAUCGGCUAACUCCGUGCCAGCAGCCGCGGUAAUACGGAGGAUCCGAGCGUUAUCCGGAUUUAUUGGGUUUAAAGGGUGCGUAGGCGGACUUUUAAGUCAGCGGUGAAAGUCCGGGGCUCAACCAUAGAAUUGCCGUUGAAACUGGGAGGCUUGAGUAGGCUUGAGGCAGGCGGAAUGCGUGGUGUAGCGGUGAAAUGCUUAGAUAUCACGCAGAACUCCGAUUGCGAAGGCAGCAUGCCAAGCCAUGACUGACGCUGAUGCACGAAAGCGUGGGGAUCAAACAGGAUUAGAUACCCCAGUAGUC
rnacentral:rRNA from 1 species